AAGAGUUUGAUCAUGGCUCAGAUUGAACGCUGGCGGCAGGCCUAACACAUGCAAGUCGAGCGGUAGCACAGAGAGCUUGCUCUCGGGUGACGAGCGGCGGACGGGUGAGUAAUGUCUGGGAAACUGCCUGAUGGAGGGGGAUAACUACUGGAAACGGUAGCUAAUACCGCAUAACGUCGCAAGACCAAAGUGGGGGGACCUUCGGGCCUCAUGCCAUCAGAUGUGCCCAGAUGGGAUUAGCUAGUAGGUGGGGGUAACGGCUCACCUAGGCGACGAUCCCUAGCUGGUCUGAGAGGAUGACCAGCCACACUGGAACUGAGACACGGUCCAGACUCCUACGGGAGGCAGCAGUGGGGAAUAUUGCACAAUGGGCGCAAGCCUGAUGCAGCCAUGCCGCGUGUGUGAAGAAGG
rnacentral:rRNA from 1 species